UUUUAUUGUUUAUAAAGAUUUUAUAAUUUUUUUAAUUUCUUUAUUAAUAUAUUAUAUUAAAUUAAAAUUUAUAAGUAAUUAUGAUUAAAUUAGUAUAAAUUGUUGUAAAAUAAAUUAUAAUUUGAAGAUUAAAUUAAGGAAUUCGGCAAAUUUAUUUUCUGCCUGUUUAUUAAAAACAUGUCUUUUUGUAAUUAUUUAAAGUCGGGCCUGCCCUAUGAUUAUUUAAAUGGCCGCGGUAUUUUGACCGUGCAAAGGUAGCAUAAUAAUUAGUUUCUUAAUUAGAAGCUGGUAUGAAGGGUUUGACAAGAAAAUUUCUGUCUCAAUUUAAAUAUUAGAAUUUAACUUUUGAGUUAAAAGGCUUAAAUUUUUUUAAAAGACGAGAAGACCCUAUAGAAUUUUACUAAUUAAUUUAUUUAAAAUUUUAUGGAUUAUUUAUUUUUAGUUAAAUUAUUUGUUUUGUUGGGGUGAUGGAAAAACUAAAAUAACUUUUUCUUAUUUUAUUCAUUAAUUUAUGA
rnacentral:rRNA from 1 species